UCCGGUUUAACACCGGCAGUCUCCCUAGAGUCCCCAACUGAAUGGUGGUAACUAAGGACAGGGGUUGCGCUCGUUGCAGGACUUAACCUAACAUCUUACGACACGAGCUGACGACAGCCAUGCAGCACCUAUCACCUUGUCCCCGAAGGGAAGACCACAUCUCUGUGGCUGUCAAGGGAUGUUAAACCCAGGUAAGGUUCUGCGCGUUGCUUCGAAUUAAACCACAUACUCCACCGCUUGUGCGGGCCCCCGUCAAUUCCUUUGAGUUUUAGCCUUGCGACCGUACUCCCCAGGCGGGAUACUUAAUGCGUGAGCUUUGGUACCCAGAAGGUUAGACAUCCGGACACCUAGUAUCCAUAGUUUACAGCGUGGACUAC
rnacentral:misc_RNA from 1 species